CUGAAUGGGGCAACCCGGCUGGUUGAAGACCAGUCACCUCUUAUGAGGAGCAAACCCGGAGAACUGAAACAUCUAAGUACCCGGAGGAAGAGAAAAUAAUUAAUGAUUCCGAUAGUAGCGGCGAGCGAACUCGGAAGAGCCCAAACCAAUCUUGUUUCGGCAAGAUUGGGGUUGUAGGACCACGUUGUGAGAUGUUCCACGAAUUAGAAUGGGCUGGAAAGUCCAACCAUAGAGGGUGAUAGUCCCGUAUAGGUAAGUGCGAAUUAUUUCUAGUGGUAUCCCGAGUAGGGCGGGACAUGUGAAAUCCUGUCUGAAUCUGUCAGAACCAUCUGAUAAGGCUAAAUACUCCUCAAGACC
rnacentral:rRNA from 1 species